GACGAACGCUGGUGGCGUGCUUAACACAUGCAAGUCGAACGGAAAGGCCCUGCUUUUGUGGGGUGCUCGAGUGGCGAACGGGUGAGUAACACGUGAGUAACCUGCCCUUGACUUUGGGAUAACUUCAGGAAACUGGGGCUAAUACCGGAUAGGAGCUCCUGCUGCAUGGUGGGGGUUGGAAAGUUUCGGCGGUUGGGGAUGGACUCGCGGCUUAUCAGCUUGUUGGUGGGGUAGUGGCUUACCAAGGCUUUGACGGGUAGCCGGCCUGAGAGGGUGACCGGCCACAUUGGGACUGAGAUACGGCCCAGACUCCUACGGGAGGCAGCAGUGGGGAAUAUUGCACAAUGGGCGGAAGCCUGAUGCAGCAACGCCGCGUGCGGGAUGACGGCCUUCGGGUUGUAAACCGCUUUCGCCUGUGACGAAGCGUGAGUGACGGGAAUGGGGAAAGAAGCACCGGCUAACUACGU
rnacentral:rRNA from 1 species